rnacentral:rRNA from 1 species
CUGGGCGUUAAGUUGCAGGGUAUAGACCCGAAACCCGGUGAUCUAGCCAUGGGCAGGUUGAAGGUUGGGUAACACUAACUGGAGGACCGAACCGACUAAUGUUGAAAAAUUAGCGGAUGACUUGUGGCUGGGGGUGAAAGGCCAAUCAAACCGGGAGAUAGCUGGUUCUCCCCGAAAGCUAUUUAGGUAGCGCCUCGUGAAUUCAUCUCCGGGGGUAGAGCACUGUUUCGGCAAGGGGGUCAUCCCGACUUACCAACCCGAUGCAAACUGCGAAUACCGGAGAAUGUUAUCACGGGAGACACACGGCGGGUGCUAACGUCCGUCGUGAAGAGGGAAACAACCCAGACCGCCAGCUAAGGUCCCAAAGUCAUGGUUAAGUGGGAAACGAUGUGGGAAGGCCCAGACAGCCAGGAUGUUGGCUUAGAAGCAGCCAUCAUUUAAAGAAAGCGUAAUAGCUCACUGGUCGAGUCGGCCUGCGCGGAAGAUGUAACGGGGCUAAACCAUG